rnacentral:misc_RNA from 1 species
GAAAUGCGAUAAGUAGUGUGAAUUGCAGAAUUCAGUGAAUCAUCGAAUCUUUGAACGCACAUUGCGCCCCUUGGUAUUCCAUGGGGCAUGCCUGUUCGAGCGUCAUUUGUACCCUCAAGCUCUGCUUGGUGUUGGGUGUUUGUCCCGUCUCCGCGCGUGGACUCGACCCAAAGUGAUUGGCAGCCGGCGUACUGGUCCCGGAGCGCAGCACAUGUCGCGCAAACGAGUGCCUUGGUACGGCGGCGUCCAUAAGCCCCUCUCUCACGCUCUUGACCUCGGAUCAGGUAGGGAUACCCGCUGAACUUAAG